rnacentral:rRNA from 1 species
CAGUAGCGUAUAUUAAAGUUGCUGCAGUUAAAAGGCUCGUAGUUGGAUUUCUGAUCAAAUAAACUUAAUCCGCCCCGUUUAGGUGUGUGAGUAUUAAUGUUUGUUGAUCAUCCUUAAAGUACAGUUAUCUACCUUUAAUUAGGCCGGGUAGUUUUGGACUUUAUCAUUUACUUUGAAAAAAUUAGAGUGUUCAAAGCAGGCAUAUUUGCUGUGAAUACAUUAGCAUGGAAUAAUAAGAUAGGACUUUGGUACUAUUUUGUUGGUUUUCUGCACUGAAGUAAUGAUUGAUAGGGACGAUUGGGGGCGCUACUAUUCAAUGGCCAGAGGUGAAAUUCUUGGAUUCAUUGAAGAGUAACUGAUGCGAAAGCGUUCGCCAAGUACGUCUCUUUUAA